GAUGCAGUAGUGCAGUGGUUAAGCGUGUUUGACUUGGGAUCAAAAGGUACUUAGUUCGAGUGCUGGCCACGGCC